AUUGAACGCUGGCGGCAGGCCUAACACAUGCAAGUCGAGCGGUAGAGAGAAGCUUGCUUCUCUUGAGAGCGGCGGACGGGUGAGUAAUGCCUAGGAAUCUGCCUGGUAGUGGGGGAUAACGUUCGGAAACGGACGCUAAUACCGCAUACGUCCUACGGGAGAAAGCAGGGGACCUUCGGGCCUUGCGCUAUCAGAUGAGCCUAGGUCGGAUUAGCUAGUUGGUGGGGUAAUGGCUCACCAAGGCGACGAUCCGUAACUGGUCUGAGAGGAUGAUCAGUCACACUGGAACUGAGACACGGUCCAGACUCCUACGGGAGGCAGCAGUGGGGAAUAUUGGACAAUGGGCGAAAGCCUGAUCCAGCCAUGCCGCGUGUGUGAAGAAGGUCUUCGGAUUGUAAAGCACUUUAAGUUGGGAGGAAGGGUUGUAGAUUAAUACUCUACGUUUUUACGUUACCGACAGAAU
rnacentral:rRNA from 1 species